rnacentral:rRNA from 1 species
UCUCAGAGUGGUGAAAGCGCCGUCGCCGAGGUCGACGUGGCGAGCUACGGAGCCGUCGGCGACGGCCAACACGACGACACGCCGGCGUUCCGGGAAGCAUGGGCCGCGGUUUGCUCCUCGCCUCAGCCGGCCACCCUCGUGGUCCCCAGGGAGAAGACAUACCUCGUGAAGCAGACCACCUUCUCGGGCAAGUGCAGGUCCCCGGUCACCUUCAGGCUGGACGGCAAGCUGGUGGCGCCCGCCAGCCGGUCGGCAUGGCCCGAGGAGAACAUGAGGUGGUGGAUCAUGUUCCGCAACGUCGACGGGCUCACCGUGACCGGCGACGGGACCAUCGACGGCAACGGCGAGGCGUGGUGGAAGACCUCUUGCCGGGUGGACAAGAAGCUCAAGUGCAGCAACGCCCCGAUGGCGCUGCUGCUCAGCAGGUGUAACAACCUCACGGUGGAGAACAUCCGGCUCCUCAACAGCCAGCAGAUCCACAUGUCGGUCGAGGACUGCCAGGACGUGCUCCUCAAGGGCAUCACCAUCACCGCCCCCGGCGACAGCCCCAUGAACGACGGGAUCCACAUUGCUCGCACCAAGGACAUCCAGGUCCUGGAUUGCGACAUUAAAACAGGGGACGACUGCAUGUCCAUCGAGACCGGAACCGAAAACCUCUACGCUUCGAGGAUAACCUGUGGCCCGGGACACGGGAUCAGCAUCGGGAGCUUAGGCGGCGACAACUCGGAGGCCCGAGUCUCCAACAUAACAAUCUACAAGGCGCACCUCUCCGGCACGACCAACGGCGCGCGCAUGAAGUCGUGGCAGGGAGGAAAAGGGUAGGCCAAGGACGUCACCUUCGAGGACAUAACCAUGGAGGAGGUCCAUAACCCCAUAAUCAUCGACCAGAACUACUGCACAUCGGCGGAUCCCGCCAACCCUAAGCCGUGCAAGAAACAAACUUCGGCGGUGGAGUUCAGCAACAUUCGGUUCAAGAACAUACGGGGCACCAGCGCGACGAAAGAAGCUAUCAAGCUGGACUGCAGCGACACCGUCCCAUGCCGCGAUAUAUUGUUGCAAGACGUGAAGCUUACAUUUCAUGACCGUGGGCACAAGCACAUGCACGCUUCCGCGACAAGUGUAUGCAACAAUGCCAAGCUAACCGAAUCUGGCACCAAUGUAGAUCCCAAGACCUGCUGA